UAUUGUAGAAAAACGGAAAGUUACAUCGACGACUGUCUUUUUGAGCCAAAUAAUUACUGAAAAUGGAAAGGAAAACAACACAACUUCAUGAAAAGAUUCGAUCCAAGGAUGAGCAAGGAAUAAAAGAGUUAGUAAAGAGUCAUCCCGAAUGGAUGUCCUUCAAAAAUGAAACGCUGGGACGGAUUCCUUUAAUGUAUGCAAUGACAUCCAACAUUCUAUGUUCUGAGGAUAUAGUUUUAUAUUUGUUGAAUGAAACGCCUACAAAGUGCAUAAAC